rnacentral:rRNA from 1 species
UGGGGAAUUUUGGACAAUGGGCGCAAGCCUGAUCCAGCAAUGCCGCGUGCAGGAAGAAGGCCUUCGGGUUGUAAACUGCUUUUGUACGGAACGAAACGGUCCUGGUUAAUACCUGGGGCUAAUGACGGUACCGUAAGAAUAAGCACCGGCUAACUACGUGCCAGCAGCCGCGGUAAUACGUAGGGUGCAAGCGUUAAUCGGAAUUACUGGGCGUAAAGCGUGCGCAGGCGGUUUUGUAAGACAGGCGUGAAAUCCCCGGGCUUAACCUGGGAAUGGCGCUUGUGACUGCAAAGCUGGAGUGCGGCAGAGGGGGAUGGAAUUCCGCGUGUAGCAGUGAAAUGCGUAGAUAUGCGGAGGAACACCGAUGGCGAAGGCAAUCCCCUGGGCCUGCACUGACGCUCAUGCACGAAAGCGUGGGGAGCAAACA